rnacentral:rRNA from 1 species
UACGUAGGGUGCAAGCGUUAAUCGGAAUUACUGGGCGUAAAGCGUGCGCAGGCGGUGAUGUAAGACAGGUGUGAAAUCCCCGGGCUUAACCUGGGAACUGCAUUUGUGACUGCAUCGCUGGAGUGCGGCAGAGGGGGAUGGAAUUCCGCGUGUAGCAGUGAAAUGCGUAGAUAUGCGGAGGAACACCGACGGCGAAGGCAAUCCCCUGGGCCUGCACUGACGCUCAUGCACGAAAGCGUGGGGAGCAAACAGG